UGCAAGUCUGGUGCCAGCAGCCGCGGWAAUUCCAGCUCCAAGAGCGUAUAUUAAAGUUGUUGCAGUUAAAAAGCUCGUAGUUGAACUUUGGGCUUGGCUGGCCGGUCCGUUUUUUAACGAGUACUGGUUUUCAGCCGAGCCUUUCCUCCUGGUUUCUGUGUAGUUGGGCUUGUCUCAGCUGCAUAUGAUCCAGGACUAUUACUUUGAAAAAAUUAGAGUGUUCAAAGCAGGCGUUUAGCUCGAAUAUAUUAGCAUGGAAUAAUGAAAUAGGACGUAUGGUUCUAUUUUGUUGGUUUCUAGGACCAUCGUAAUGAUUAAUAGGGACGGUCGGGGGCAUCAGUAUUCAAUUGUCAGAGGUGAAAUUCUUGGAUUUAUUGAAGACUAACUACUGCGAAAGCAUUUGCCAAA
rnacentral:rRNA from 1 species